rnacentral:rRNA from 1 species
UAUAUGGUCAAGAAGAGAAGCGCAAACGGUGGAUGCCUUGGCAGUAAGAGGCGAAGAAGGACGUGGAAUCCUGCGAAAAGCUAUGGGGAGCUGGAAACGAGCGAUGAGCCAUAGAUGUCCGAAUGGGGGAACCCGGCUGCAGCGAUGCGGUCAUUUGCAUUUGAAUACAUAGGAUGCAAAGGCGAACUCGGGGAACUGAAACAUCUAAGUACCCGAAGGAAAAGAAAUCAAG